rnacentral:rRNA from 1 species
AGUGAACGCUGGCGGUAGGCCUAACACAUGCAAGUCGAACGGCGGCACAGUAAGAGCUUGCUCUUACGGGUGGCGAGUGGCGGACGGGUGAGGAAUACAUCGGAAUCUACUUUUUCGUGGGGGAUAACGUAGGGAAACUUACGCUAAUACCGCAUACGACCUACGGGUGAAAGCAGGGGAUCUUCGGACCUUGCGCGAUUGAAUGAGCCGAUGUCGGAUUAGCUAGUUGGCGGGGUAAAGGCCCACCAAGGCGACGAUCCGUAGCUGGUCUGAGAGGAUGAUCAGCCACAAUGGAACUGAGACACGGUCCAGACUCCUACGGGAGGCAGCAGUGGGGAAUAUUGGACAAUGGGCGCAAGCCUGAUCCAGCCAUACCGCGUGGGUGAAGAAGGCCUUCGGGUUGUAAAGCCCUUUUGUUGGGAAAGAAAAGCAGCAGGUUAAUACCCCACUGUUCUGACGGUACCCAAAGAAUAAGCACCGGCUAACUUCGU